rnacentral:rRNA from 1 species
UACUAUGGCCAUGCCACCCUGAACACGCCCGAUCUCAUCUGAUUUCAGAAGCUAACCAGAGUUAGGCCCAGUUAGUAUUUGGAUGGGAGACCACCUAGGAAGACCAGGUGCUGUAGGUG